GUCCCCACAGAGGGAACCCGUCCUCUUAAACACAGUCCCCACAGAGGGAACCCGUCCUCUUAAACAUGGUCCACCCAAGCCCGUAUUACACCAAAUACAGAAAGGGAUGCUGUGGCGGGGUGUGAACGUACUCUCGAGCAGAUCAGCGACAAAUUCAAGUAGCUGAAGAAAUACUUGGGACCAAAAAAAGGAGCUCGGUCGAAGCGGCACCGGUCGGCCGAGGAAGAACCCCCACUUUGAUAUUGUGGGCUCGGUCCUCGGCGAUAGACCGGCAAAUAACGCCACCGGAGCCUUAACCUGCGCGACGGCGAUGCUGGAGGACACACUGCCGCAAUCACAGCCUGGCAACUUUCUUUUCAAACAUUUUCACCUUGCAUUCAGUUUUUUAGUCAUACAUGAAAAUCCCUCACCUUUCGGCGAAAUUCACCGUUUUGAAACCAAAAUGGGUGACCUACGUGAAUCGUGUAGAUCCGAUGAGAAAAAAAAUUGGGGGGGUUGAUAUUGACCCAAAGGGCAAGGAGGUCGCUUCGCACCCAUAGACAGUUUGUGCGGUUUGCGCCUCCUCCUCCUGCUUGGAUAUUGACGCCAUAGCGACGAGUACAUCUCGCUGCGAAGGGCAAGCAGCAUCAUUUCGCGCCUCUUCUCCUGCUGGCCAGGGCGUGCACACAUCAGUCAGAGUGCAGACCAGACCGCCGGAAGCUGGAUUGAGUCAUCGGACUGAAUUUGGCGAGUAGUGGUUUCAUUCAUUUUUCUGAAUGUGUGGAUGAUAUUGAGGUGAGAGGACUGAAGGCAGAAGAAUGAGUGUGUUGGGGGAGGAGGAUGCUGCUCUAGUUAAACAGCUGGAUGCUGGGCUAAAAUGCAGCUGGAACUGGUCGUGGCUAAAGCUGGAGGGCAAGGUGUUAGUAAAAGGGCAAGAGGUGUCCUUUCAUCUAGGGGAAGUGUUCAAAAAAAUCAACAGGCAGGGAUUUGCCAGAUGUGUUCUCUGCCACAAAGACAUCAACUAUGCGAACAAAGGCAGCCAUGCCCUGCAGGCUCACUGUCAGACAGAGAUACACAAGAAGAAGGUGGAGAUGAUCGCCUCCACACACAGUGUUGCCAGAACCUUCCUUCCAGCAUCAUCUUGCCAGAGUCAAGCGAGCCAAGGCCCAGAAACAAUCAGGCAGCAGUGCCAGGGAAAGAUACCGGUGCCUGUUAGAAACCGCAUAGCAAAUGCAGAGGCAAUGGUCCUUGGAACCUUGGCAGAGCAUUCAAUCCCCUUUUCUAUAGCUCCUGUAAUUGUUGACCUUGCCCAGACCCUUUCCUUGGAUAAACCAGCUUUGCAGGGAAUGAAGCUGUCACGGACGGCAGCUUCAUACAAGAUGAUCCAUGGUUUAGGGCGGACCUACUCUGAGAGGAUCUUUUCCAACAUGAGGAGAUUUCCGUUUUCAUUAAAUGUAGAUGAGAGCACCUCCAACAACAACAAAAAGAUCCUCUCCAUGCUGGUUUGCUAUUAUCAUGCAGACUUGAGGAAGGUGAUGGUGGAGCAUUUGGGGUCCUUGGAGAUUUUGAACGUUAAUGCUGCUUCAUUGGAGAAGGUGCUCUGUGAAUUCUUUCUGAAAAACAACAUCCCGUGGCAGAACCUUAUCGGAACGAUUAUGCAAAGCAGCAUGGGAUUUCCCAGGCUAGAUGUUGAUGGAGACUCCUGCCGUCAUAUUCACAAUGCUGCAAAAAAAUUCUCAGAGCCCUUUGACAGCUACUUGGAGAAGCUGUUCAGUGAUCUCCAGGUUGACCAUCAGUGGAGUCCAGACCAGGUAAUGUACCUCGAGGAGAUAGCCAUGAUAUUAAAUCUCCCCGCCUCCAGCCCACAGAGGGGCUUUGUUCCUCAUCGCUGGCUGUCUGCAUAUGAUGCCAGUGUGGCAACCCAUGCCAUGAUGCCUGCGUACAAAGUCCUCUAUUAUGGAUACCUCUCCACUGCGGAUAAGGAGCUGUAUAGGGAGCCUUUGGAAUUGAUGUACACCAAGUACCAUGUCAAUCUGACUGCAAGAGCCAGAAUCAAGAUGGUUCAGGAGAAACUCAACAGGAAAGGCAUGACCCCACAAGGCCGUGAGAGAAAAAGGAGGGUAUGUCAGAAGUUGUGGCAUGAGGAGACAACAGUCCUACGGCUCAGCAUCUACAUGGGUGUUCUUGCUAUUCUCAAGGAGUAUGUCAUGGUUUUCCAGGGUAGCCAGACAUUGGUGCACAAACUUCAUGAUCGGCAGCUUGAGCUGUUCCUGGCCUACUUGGCUUGCUUUGUGAAGGCCGAACAGAUUACUGAGCUGUCUCCCAGGGCUCUUAGGGAGUUGGUCCUGGAGGAUCAUAUGCUGCUGCCCUCCAGGGAUGUAUAUGGGGGACAGGAAGCUGAUAAGUUCAGAAGCCAGAAUCCCAAACAUGCUCUGUUGGUGCCAUUCCUAGCUGAAGUUAGAAAAGCCUACAUAACCACUGCAGUGUACCUUCAGAAGAAGCUCCCCUUGGCCAGUCCGACCCUGACAGCCCUGUCUGCUCUGGACCCUCUUCUGAGAGGCCACUCACAGGCAGUGAUCCAGUUUAAGAGGCUGAGUGGUAUGCUGGGGCACCUCUUGCCAGCAGACCAGGAUAUCCAGAGGGAACUUGUGUGGUUCAGUGUUGACCUGACCAUCCCCAGCUUCAAGGAGGGAGAGAGCAUUGUGGAGUGGUGGGGUCAUGUCUUCAACAAACCAGACAAGUACCCCUCCCUGGGUGCACUGAGUUGUCCACCAUCGGGGACGAGGACCUGAUGUCUCCACUCCACUGCAGCUCUCCUGCACCAUCCAGCAGCUCAGGACAAUCGCAGCAGACCAGACCUGCUAAGAGGAAGCGAGACAGCAACACUGAGCUCCUGGACUACCUCGAGCGGGCGGACGAGAGGUUCCUGCAGCACAGCAAGGAAACGAACGAUGCCUUGCUGCACAAGCUGGAGGCAGACAACAGUGCGGUCCUCAGUAUGAUGGGGCGCAUGGUGUCUGUAAUGGAGGCGCAAGCCAGAAAAUAAUCACACCACUUUUCUUGUUCUGCACCUUUGCACUGUUCACGUCACUUUAUGUUGUGUUUCUACGCACUAUGUAAAUAAAUGUUUUUUCUAAAGAGA